CAUGGUUUCAGUUACUCAUGGUCAGCUGUGGAUUCCAGGGGAAGGAAGGAGGUAGGAAGGGAGUGGCCACCUGAAGGAGGGGACUGGCGCAUGAUUUAAGACAUAUGGAGGAUGAGGACAGUCACAAGACAUAGCUGCACAAACAGAUGGAAGAAAGACAGGUUUAAAGAUCUUGCCUAUAGAAGAGAGUUUACCCUUUCUCUUGAAAGGAGGUGUCUGAGAACCUGUAGUAGGUCCAUCUGAGUUCGCAAUGGAAGCCUUAUCCAGUCCAUCAACUGUUCAAGGAAGAGAAAAAAAAAGAACAAAUCAGGACCAAAAUAAAACAACAAAAGGCUGUC